UGCAAGAAAUGAAAACCAUUACUUUGUGAACAAGGGAUUCUUUCCUUGUGAUUCACAUCUGCUGGACAAUAUUGAUAAGAUAAGACAUAUUCAUACAAUAAUUGUACAGGGAAGGUACGAUGUGUGUUGUCCCAUGAUGUCAGCAUGGGAUCUUCACAAGGCAUGGCCAGAGUCUGAACUUAGGGUUGUUCCAGAUGCUGGACACUCGGCUAACGAACCAGGAGUAUCGGCAGAACUUGUGGCUGCGAAUGAGAAGCUGAAAAGCAUCGUAAAGGGAAUUGCAUUCUAAGGUGAAGUUGUUUUCUAGUCGUUGGCAAAUCUUCUUAUAUAUGGUCUUGUUCUAAAAGAGUGAACAUGGAAUAAAAUAGUGAUCUGAUGGUUUGUUUGUUCAUUCAUAAAAUUGAAAUAUUCAAAAUGGGCUUACAAAUAA